rnacentral:rRNA from 1 species
AUACGGAGGGAGCAAGCGUUAUUCGGAAUCACUGGGCGUAAAGGACGCGUAGGCGGGUCUGUAAGUCAGGUGUGAAAUCCUACAGCUCAACUGUAGAACUGCACUUGAAACUACAGACCUAGAGUAUGGAAGGGGCAGAUGGAAUUAGUGGUGUAGGGGUAAAAUCCGUAGAUAUCACUAGGAAUACCGAAAGCGAAGGCGAUCUGCUGGGACAUUACUGACGCUGAGGCGUGAAAGCGUGGGGAGCAAACAGGAUUAGAAACCCCAGUAGUCC